AUUGAGCGCUGGCGGAAUGCUUUACACAUGCAAGUCGAACGGCAGCACGGACUUCGGUCUGGUGGCGAGUGGCGAACGGGUGAGUAAUGUAUCGGAACGUGCCCAGUCGUGGGGGAUAACGUAGUGAAAAUUACGCUAAUACCGCAUACGAUCUAUGGAUGAAAGCGGGGGAUCGCAAGACCUUGCGCGAUUGGAGCGGCCGAUAUCAGAUUAGGUAGUUGGUGGGGUAAAGGCCCACCAAGCCAACGAUCUGUAGCUGGUCUGAGAGGACGACCAGCCACACUGGAACUGAGACACGGUCCAGACUCCUACGGGAGGCAGCAGUGGAGAAUUUUGGACAAUGGGCGAAAGCCUGAUCCAGCCAUUCCGCGUGCAGGAUGAAGGCCCUCGGGUUGUAAACUGCUUCUGUACAGAACGAAAAGGUUUCUACUAAUACUAGGAGCUCAUGACGGUACUGUAAGAAUAAGCACCGGCUAACUACGUGCCAGCCGCCGCCGUAA
rnacentral:rRNA from 1 species